rnacentral:rRNA from 1 species
AUUCCAGCUCCAAUAGCGUAUAUUAAAGUUGUUGCAGUUAAAACGCUCGUAGUCGGAUUUCGGGGCGGCUUCGUCGGUCUGCCGAUGGGUAUGCACUGACGCGGGCGUCCUUCCUUCCGGAGACGCGUCCUACUCUUAGCUGAGCGGGGCGUGGAGACGGAUCGUUUACUUUGAAAAAAUCAGAGUGUUUCAAGCAGGCAUCAUCGCUCUUGCAUGGAUUAGCAUGGGAUAAUGAAAUUGGACCUUGGUGCUAUUUUGUUGGUUUCGAGCACCGAAGUAAUGAUGAAUAGGGACAGUUGGGGGUAUUUGUAUUCCAUAGUCUGAGGUGAAAUUCUUGGAUUUAUGGAAGACAAACUAAUGCGAAAGCAUCUACCAAGGAUGUUUUCAUCG